rfam:Erinaceus europaeus unplaced genomic scaffold scaffold00376, whole genome shotgun sequence
CAAUGUGAGUGUGCUCUGGCUGCAACAUCUGUCACCUCAUUGAUUGCCAAAGUUGAUUUGACUAAUCUGGCUGGCUUAACAGGUAUCCCCUUUCUCCCUCACACCUUUAUCUGUGUCCUCCCAAAGCUGCACACUUGGUUAAAGAGGAUGACCUUCCUGAAUAGAGACAGACCAGUCUUCUCAAAGGUAUACAUGUAGUGGAGCUCCCCUGCUAGAACCUUCAAACAAGCUCUCAUUCUACAUUUUCUCUUACCAAUCCCUUGUCAAAUAUGUGAUAUGCAGAUAUCUUCUAGAUACUGUGUCUUUUU